rnacentral:rRNA from 1 species
CGGCGAGCGAAAAGAAAAUAGUUCAGCACUAAGUCACUUUGUCUUUAUGGCAAAUGUGAGAUGCAGUGUAUGGAAUGUCAAAUUUCUAGUAUGAGAAAUUAACGAUUUAAGUCCUUCUUAAAUGAGGCCAUUUACCCAAAGAGGGUGCCAGGCCCGUAUAACGUUAAUGAUUACUAGAUGGCAUUUCCAAAGAGUCGUGUUGCUUGAUAGUGCAGCACUAAGUGGGUGGUAAACUCCAUCUAAAACUAAAUAUAACCAUGAGACCGAUAGUAAACAAGUACCGUGAGGGAAAGUUGAAAAGAACUCUGAAUAGAGAGUUAAAUAGUACGUGAAACUGCUUAGAGGUUAAGCCCGAUGAACCUGAAUAUCCGUUAUGGAAAAUUCAUCAUUAUGAUUUUAAUAUUUAUAAUAUUAUAAUAAUGGUGUGCAUUUUUUCUAUAAAGGACAUUGUAAUCUAUUAACUUUACAUUAUUUAUCAUAAGAUCAUUAGAUUAUGUUUAUUCAAAUUAUUUUGCUUGCAAUUUAAUAUCGAAUAAAUUCUUUUGAUUUGAUAAAGCGUUGAUAGAUUUAUUAUAUACAGUGCUUAAAUAUUUAUAUUUUAUAAUAUCAUAUUAAUCAAUGAUUUUUAUGUUCAUUAUAUGCACUUGUAUGAUU